GACGAACGCUGGCGGCGUGCUUAACACAUGCAUGUCGAACGGAAAGGCCCUGCUUUUGUGGGGUGCUCGAGUGGCGAACGGGUGAGUAACACGUGAGUAACCUGCCCUUGACUUUGGGAUAACUUCAGGAAACUGGGGCUAAUACCGGAUAGGAGCUCCUGCUGCAUGGUGGGGGUUGGAAAGUUUCGGCGGUUGGGUAUGGACUCGCGGCUUAUCAGCUUGUUGGUGGGGUAGUGGCUUACCAAGGCUUUGACGGGUAGCCGGCCUGAGAGGGUGACCGGCCACAUUGGGACUGAGAUACGGCCCAGACUCCUACGGGAGGCAGCAGUGGGGAAUAUUGCACAAUGGGCGGAAGCCUGAUGCAGCAACGCCGCGUGCGGGAUGACGGCCUUCGGGUUGUAAACCGCUUUCGCCUGUGACGAAGCGUGAGUGACGGUAAUGGGUAAAGAAGCACCGGCUAACUACGUG
rnacentral:rRNA from 1 species